rnacentral:rRNA from 1 species
AUGGUGAAGAGCGCGCAGCAGCAGGUGGCGCUUGGCGGCGACGGCGGCAAUGCGGCGGCGGCGAGGCAGGGCGGCGGCGGCGGCGGGAGGCAGCAGCAGCAGCAGCAGUACAAGGGCGUGCGGAUGCGGAGCUGGGGGUCGUGGGUGUCGGAGAUCCGGGCGCCCAACCAGAAGACGCGCAUAUGGCUCGGCUCCUACUCCACCGCCGAGGCCGCCGCGCGCGCCUACGACGCCGCGCUGCUCUGCCUCCGGGGCUCCGCCGCCGACCUCAACUUCCCCGUCCACCUCCCCUUCCACGUCCCCGCCGCCGCCAUGUCGCCCAAGUCCAUCCAACGCGUCGCCGCCGCCGCCGCCGCCACCGCCGGCAGCCCCCUGCAGCCUCCCCACACCAUGGCCUCCUCUGCCUCCUGGCCCGGCGCCGCCCCGCCGUGCGGCUACGGCGACAACGCGCCGUCCUUCGGCUCCCCGGAGGACCAGUCCGCCCGCCACAGCAACGCCGACGACGACGAGACCAUGGCGCACGGCGACGACGGCGUGGACUACGACGCGCUGGCGGACAUCGACGCCUUCUUCCAGUCGCCCAAGUGCAUGGACUACGCCACGAUGAUGGACCCGUGCAGCACCUUCUUCGCGCCGGCGCCCAUGGCGCCCGUCGAGUGGGAGGAGGAAGGCGAGAUCAGCCUCUGGAGCUUCUCCUCCUACAACUGA